rnacentral:rRNA from 1 species
AGUGAACGCUGGCGGCGUGCCUAAUACAUGCAAGUCGAACGGAGUGGCGCACGGGUGAGUAAUGUAUAGCUAAUCUGCCCUACACUAGAGGACAACAGUUGGAAACGACAGCUAAUACACUAUAGUGUAGGAUGAGGCUUUCUUGUAUCAGCUAGUUGGUGAGGUAAUGACUCACCACGGCGAUGACGCAUAACUGGUCUGAGCGGAUGAUCAGUAACGCGGGAACGUAGACACCGUCAAGACUACUACGGGAGGCAGCAGUAGGGAAUAUUGAUCAAUGGGGGAAACCCUGAAGCAGCAACGCCGCGUGGAGUAUGACACUUUGCGGAGCGUAAAGUCCUUUUGUUAGGGAAGCGGUACCUAACGAAUAAGCGACGGCUAACUCCGGGCCAGCAGCGGCGGUAAUAC